ensembl:lncRNA
UACUUCACAUGAUUAAUACUCUCAAAUGUGAAACUUGCAUGUGUUUUCAGCUGUGGAAAUUCUGAGAAAAUACCCGUUAAUACCCGUUAAUGAUCCGCUUGCAACCACGACUUUCUCCUCACAGUAGGUGGCGGUAAUGCGCGAAAUCGAUGCGAAUCGCCAAAUAAAGGCAGAAGAAGAAGAGUUCCACCUCUUCGGACUUCAUCAAGCAGGUAAGACGCGUUGACAACAAUAUAUACAACAAUGUAAUUUUAUAAGAGCUAUUGUCAUUUGCAAUAUUAAUAUAUUAAAUAACUUAUUUAAUAUUUUUAUGGUGUUCUUUGGUCACUCAGUACAUGUCUUAAUUUUCCAAUAGACUUUUAACGUCAGCAAUUUAGUUUUACAAUUAAGAUGGCUGAGCAGGACAUUGGUGCAGCAGAGGAUGCUAUGUUCCAUGCAGACCUGCUUUUGGCUCAAAUGAAAGAAAAACAAAAUGAGAAAAGUACACCCCCUAACCGUGAAAGUAAAUUUCAGUGGAUUGAGAGAGAUUGUGAAGGUCGUCCACUGCUGAAAAGAAAGAGCAGAAGCGGAGAAACGCGUAUGCGUUCUUCAGCUACAGUCAUGAAUCCUUGUGAACCAGCUGAGGAGGUACCCAUGGUGACAGAACAAAACUUGUCUCAACACUUACUUGACAGUGAGAUGCAGAAACUGCAGGAGAUUCUGGCAACAACUGUUGAAGCUUCAGAUGGUCCUCCUUCAACAUCAUCAUCAUGGAGCUUGCGACAGUCUGCAGCCCAAGAUGAGUGGCAGAAAGCAA